AGCAGCCGCGGUAAUUCCAGCUCCAAUAGCGUAUAUUAAAGUUGUUGCAGUUAAAAAGCUCGUAGUUGAAUUUCGGGAUCAAUACGUCGGUCGUGCUUAGGUACGUACUGGCGUCAUUGAUUUCUCCCUUCUGACGAACCAUGAUGUCAUUAAUUUGGUGUUAUGGGAAGUCAGGACUGUUACUUUGAAAAAAUUAGAGUGUUUAAAGCAGGCUCACGCUUGAAUACAUUAGCAUGGAAUAAUGAAAUAGGACGUUCGAUCCUAUUUUGUUGGUUUUAGGAUCAACGUAAUGAUUAAUAGGGAUAGUUGGGGGCAUUAGUAUUCAAUUGUCAGAGGUGAAAUUCUUGGAUUUAUUGAAGACUAACUACUGCGAAAGCAUUUGCCAAGGAUGUUUUCAUUAAUCAAGAACGAAGUUAGGGGAUCGAAGACGAUCAGAUACCGUCGUAGUCU
rnacentral:rRNA from 1 species